UUGCCUAUUUUGGUCCUGAGGAGUUUAAUCAUUCAUCUGUUUUUGUCAGCUUAAUAUCUGGCAUGCUGGGCAUUGCCUGGCACCAAUAUUAAAUUGAUUUUUGCUUCUCGCGUUUAACAACGAAGCUUGAUUAGGUUGACUCAUGGAUUGUCUCGGUCUUACACUACCAUAAUGAUAUGUCUGAUUCAG